GAUGAACGCUGGCGGCGUGCUUAACACAUGCAAGUCGAACGAUGAAGCCCAGCUUGCUGGGUGGAUUAGUGGCGAACGGGUGAGUAACACGUGAGUAACCUGCCCUUGACUCUGGGAUAAGCCCGGGAAACUGGGUCUAAUACCGGAUAGGAGCGCCUGUCGCAUGACGGGUGUUGGAAAGAUUUUUCGGUCAUGGAUGGACUCGCGGCCUAUCAGCUUGUUGGUGAGGUAAUGGCUCACCAAGGCGACGACGGGUAGCCGGCCUGAGAGGGUGACCGGCCACACUGGGACUGAGACACGGCCCAGACUCCUACGGGAGGCAGCAGUGGGGAAUAUUGCACAAUGGGCGGAAGCCUGAUGCAGCGACGCCGCGUGAGGGAUGACGGCCUUCGGGUUGUAAACCUCUUUCAGUAGGGAAGAAGCGAAAGUGACGUACCUGCAGAAAGAGCCC
rnacentral:rRNA from 1 species